UAAAUCCCACACAUUCUCAAGUAUCAGUUCAAAUUGAUAAAUCCCACACAUUCUCAAGUAUCAGUUCAAAUUGAUAAAUCCCACACAUUCUCAAGUAUCAGUUCAAAUUGAUAAAUCCCACACAUUCUCAAGUAUCAGUUCAAAUUGAUAAAUCCCACACAUUCUCAAGUAUCAGUUCAAAUUGAUAAAUCCCACACAUUCUCAAGUAUCAGUUCAAAUUGAUAAAUCCCACACAUUCUCAAGUAUCAGUUCAAAUUGAUAAAUCCCACACAUUCUCAAGUAUCAGUUCAAAUUGAUAAAUCCCACACAUUCUCAAGUAGAAGUACAAAUUGAUAAAUCCCACACAUUCUCAAGUAUCAGUUCAAAUAGAUAAAUCCCACACAUUCUCAAGUAUCAGUUCAAAUUGAUAAAUCUCACACUUGCUUAGAAAUGAUCGCACACAUGGUUUACCAACAUCUCUGUUCGUACACAACAUUGAUAAAUGAGUGGCCUCCUGGUCAGGCUCCAUAGAAGCACACAUCGCCUACCGCUCCCUAGCAUACUACUAGCCAAUGUCCUGUCUCUUGACAACAAGGUAGAUGAAAUUCGAGCAAGGGUUGCCUUCCAGAGAGAAAGAGAUUGUAACAUUCUCUGUUCCAUGGAAGCAUGGCUCUCUUGGGAUAUGUUGUCGGAAUCGGUUCAGCCACCGGGCUUCUCCAUGCCUUGAGCCGACAGAGAUAAACCCCUCUCUGGGAAGAGAAAGGCGGGGGUGUAUUCUUAAUGAUUAACAACAUACAGGAACUCGUCUAUCUGCUCUCCGAACAUAUAAUUCCUCACAAUCAAAUGCUGGCCGUAUUACCUUCCAAGAGAAUUCUCGUCAGUUAUCGUCACAGCUGUGUAUAUUCCCCCUCAAGCAGACACCAAAAUGGCCCUAAAGGAACUUCACUGGACUUUAUGUAAACUGGAAACCAUAUAUCCUGAGGUUGCAUUUAUUGUAGCAAAUUUGAGAACAAGGCCACCUCAAUUCUAUCAGAUUACUGAUUGCACUAUGCAUGGGGGUAAUACACUAGACCACAUCUACUCUAACCUCUGUGAUGCUUAUAGAUCCCUCCCCCGCCCUACCUUCGGCAAAUCCGACCACAAUGCCAUCUUGCGCCUACCGUCUUAUAGGAAGAAACUAAAACAGGAUAUACAGUGGUUCCUCCUUUAAAGUUGCAAUAUACUGCGGGCACACCCUGCGUGCUGCUGCAGCAUUCUGUGGCACUUCAUUUAAUUCAGAGCCAUUUCUUCUGUUACAGCAAGUUAUUGCUAGUUUGACUAGCAGAGGGCAUCUUUGAGAAGCAUUUGACAGUAUUCCGUAUUGGCAUUACAAGAGAAUUUAAAACAUUAUUUUUCCUCCAAACAUGGUGAGUGGAGUUGGAGUAGACCAAAAAACUCUAUUUUUGACUCAUCAGACCACAUGACCUUCUCCCAUUCCUCCUCUGUAUUAUCCAGAUGGUCAUUGGCAAACUUCAGACGGGCCUGGACAUGCGCUAUCUUGAGCAGGGGGACCUUGCGUGCUCUCCAGGAUUUUAAUCCAUGACGGCGUAGUGUGUUACUAAUGUUUUCUUUGAGACUGUGGUCGAGGCUCUCUUCAGGUCAUUGACCAGGUCCUGCCGUGUAGUUCUGGCCUGAACCCUCACCUUCCUCAUGAUCAUUGAUGCCCCAUGAGGUGAGAUCUUGCAUGGAGCCCCAGACUGAGGGUGAUUGACCGUCAUCUUGAACUUCUUCCAUUUUCUAAUAAUUGCGCCAACAGUUGUUGCCUUCUCACCAAGCUACUUGCCUAUUGUCCUGUAGCCCAUCCCAGCCUUGUGCAGGUCUACAAUUUUACCCCUGAUGUCCUUACACAGCUCUCUGGUCUUGGCCAUUGUGGAGAGGUUGGAUUGCGUUUGAUUGAGUGUGUGGAUGGGUGUCUUUUAUACAGGUAACGAGUUCAAACAGGUGCAGUUAUUACAGGUAAUGAGUGGAGAACAAGAGAGCUUCUUAAAGAAAAACAAACAAGUCUGUGAGAGCCGGAAUUCUUACUGGUUGGUAGGUGAUCAAAUACUUAUGUCUUGCAAUAAAAUGCAAAUUAAUUACUUAACAAUCGUAAAAUUAGAUUUUCUUGAUUUUUGUUUUAGAUUCCGUCUCUCACAGUUUUUAGUGUACCUAUGAUACAAAUUACAGACCUCUCUCUACAUGCUUUGUAAGUAGGAAAACAUGCAAAAUCGGUAGUGUAUGAAAUACUUGUUCUCCUCACUGUAUGUGCAGAGGGUCCCUGUUUCGAGCCCGGGUAGGGGCGAGGAGAGGAACUGAAGCAAAACUGUUACACACCACCAUUUUAAAUCAGGAGAAUCUCCUCUUUUUAAUAAUGUAAGUCUGGGCAGCAAGCUCGUUUGUCAUCGAUCACUAGACCAGAAAUAGACAGAAGUUACAUUUUUUCCUCUACUUUUUCAUUACGCAGACACAAGCACAGUUGACACCAUCGAGGUGCGGAUGUUUACUUUCUACACAAGUUGUUUUUUUCCAGUUUCGCCCGAAGAACAGAUUGUAGUGGUAAAAUAAAAAGGAUAAAUUUUUAUGGAAUUCUAAGCAUCACUCCAGUCAAAACAGACUCUGCGAACGUUCGAUUCCAUUCAUUUGCUAUGGGCUCGUGCUAGUGUUCCAGUUUAGCCAACGUUCUAAAGCCGUUUUGACUAGUUCUAUUGUUAUAGCUAGCCAGAGCGGAUUUACAAAAGCAUACGACUAUACUAUUUAGCCAAGCUAAGAAUGACAUGAAUAAUACACUUUGGGUUGUUAGCCUAUAGUUAAUAUACUGGCAAGUUUGAUGUAUAACUACUAACGUUAGGUAGCUAGCUAACAUACCGGUACAUAAUGCUAUGUGGUUCGUAAGGACAGCGUAGCUAACAAAUUGUCAGCCAACAUAACAUGUAAGGUAACUUAUUUGAAAAGUAAUUACUUUAUUACAUUGAGUAGCAAGCUGCCCCUUGGUCGUUAGGGCACAUCUUGUCUGUGAUAGUUUUUUUUUUCACACCUAGCUCGGCUACUAGACUAUUUUGUAGUAAAGGUUGAACAGUCUAUUGUUCAGCUAUUAGCCCUCACCAACUUGCAACAAAUUGCUGUUCCCAUGUCAUUCCAUUCCCUCAUCCACACGUCAUCAUUCUGCUCCUGAGUGGCUCGCUUGUGGGCGUGCUGGCAGGAUAUGGCAGCAUCUUCGGUUGUGCGUCAAGAAUUCUGCAUAUGGUAGCACGUUUGUAUGAAGGUGUGGUUAUUCACAGGCAAAUUGUUAUAUGCUAUGGAUGUACACUUGUGUCUUUUUGUCGAGAGCAAAACAUUUUUAAUUUCCCCCCCCAAAAAAAAUUGUUCUGAAAGCAACUUUUUUACGACACAAAGGAAGUCAAAGCGGACACCUAUGAAGAUGGCAUCUCAGGUAAGCAGCACUGGGCUGUAUUGGCAUAUCCUAAAAAUGACAUCUGCUGCUUUAGAUUGAACGGUCAUAUCUGUUAUUGUUUUCAUAUCUAUAAAAAAUAAGCUGUUUUCUUUACUUUCAGAGAGCGAGCUGACCAAGGGGUCGAAAAAGUAGAUUUUGCCAGAUGUUCACUGUCCGAGAAACAGGCCGUGGAAGCUUUAUUGCUGGCAAAAAGUGUACAUAACCAGAGCUAUUUUGGUGAACCCCUCUCGCAUCUGAACUGGCUGCACAGCACGAUCAUAGGUAUGUUUUGAUGUGAGAGAGGAAGCCAGUCCUGUCAUAUCCACCUCACCCGCUCUUAGGAUAACUUUCGAUCCAACUGGGUGCCCACGGCUGGUUAGGAGACACCGCAAUUGUGAUGAACUGAGAGAAUAUUAGGGUAGCACUGUAAUUCAUGAAUCAUAUGCUGUCUGCCGCUGUUCUUACCUCUUUCUCUUUCUGUCUUCAACACCUCUCUCCCCACCUUGUCUUUCUUCCUUGUUUUAUAAUGCACACCGUAUGUGCAUUGAAGUACAGAUUGAACUCAUAUUUAUAAUAUUACAAUUAUCAUAACUAUAAU